rnacentral:rRNA from 1 species
UUAAGUUAUUAAGGGCGCACGGUGGAUGCCUUGGCACUAGAAGCCGAUGAAGGACGUUACUAACGACGAUAUGCUUUGGGGAGCUGUAAGUAAGCUUUGAUCCAGAGAUUUCCGAAUGGGGAAACCCAGCAUGAGUUAUGUCAUGUUAUCGAUAUGUGAAUACAUAGCAUAUCAGAAGGCACACCCGGAGAACUGAAACAUCUUAGUACCCGGAGGAAGAGAAAGAAAAUUCGAUUCCCUUAGUAGCGGCGAGCGAAACGGGAAGAGCCCAAACCAACAAGCUUGCUUGUUGGGGUUGUAGGACACUCUAUACGGAGUUACAAAGGACGACAUUAGACGAAUCAUCUGGAAAGAUGAAUCAAAGAAGGUAAUAAUCCUGUAGUCGAAAAUGUUGUCUCUCUUGAGUGGAUCCUGAGUACGACGGAGCACGUGAAAUUCCGUCGGAAUCUGGGAGGACCAUCUCCUAAGGCUAAAUACUCUCUAGUGACCGAUAGUGAACCAGUACCGUGAGGGAAAGGUGAAAAGCACCCCGGAAGGGGAGUGAAAUAGAACCUGAAACCGUGUGCUUACAAGUAGUCAGAGCCCGUUAAUGGGUGAUGGCGUGCCUUUUGUAGAAUGAACCGGCGAGUUACGAUUUGAUGCAAGGUUAAGCAGUAAAUGUGGAGCCGUAGCGAAAGCGAGUCUGAAUAGGGCGUUUAGUAUUUGGUCGUAGACCCGAAACCAGGUGAUCUACCCUUGGUCAGGUUGAAGUUCAGGUAACACUGAAUGGAGGACCGAACCGACUUACGUUGAAAAGUGAGCGGAUGAACUGAGGGUAGCGGAGAAAUUCCAAUCGAACCUGGAGAUAGCUGGUUCUCUCCGAAAUAGCUUUAGGGCUAGCCUCAAGUGAUGAUUAUUGGAGGUAGAGCACUGUUUGGACGAGGGGCCCCUCUCGGGUUACCGAAUUCAGACAAACUCCGAAUGCCAAUUAAUUUAACUUGGGAGUCAGAACAUGGGUGAUAAGGUCCGUGUUCGAAAGGGAAACAGCCCAGACCACCAGCUAAGGUCCCAAAAUAUAUGUUAAGUGGAAAAGGAUGUGGCGUUGCCCAGACAACUAGGAUGUUGGCUUAGAAGCAGCCAUCAUUUAAAGAGUGCGUAAUAGCUCACUAGUCGAGUGACACUGCGCCGAAAAUGUACCGGGGCUAAACAUAUUACCGAAGCUGUGGAUUGUCCUUUGGACAAUGGUAGGAGAGCGUUCUAAGGGCGUUGAAGCAUGAUCGUAAGGACAUGUGGAGCGCUUAGAAGUGAGAAUGCCGGUGUGAGUAGCGAAAGACGGGUGAGAAUCCCGUCCACCGAUUGACUAAGGUUUCCAGAGGAAGGCUCGUCCGCUCUGGGUUAGUCGGGUCCUAAGCUGAGGCCGACAGGCGUAGGCGAUGGAUAACAGGUUGAUAUUCCUGUACCACCUAUAAUCGUUUUAAUCGAUGGGGGGACGCAGUAGGAUAGGCGAAGCGUGCGAUUGGAUUGCACGUCUAAGCAGUAAGGCUGAGUAUUAGGCAAAUCCGGUACUCGUUAAGGCUGAGCUGUGAUGGGGAGAAGACAUUGAGUCUUCGAGUCGUUGAUUUCACACUGCCGAGAAAAGCCUCUAGAUAGAAAAUAGGUGCCCGUACCGCAAACCGACACAGGUAGUCAAGAUGAGAAUUCUAAGGUGAGCGAGCGAACUCUCGUUAAGGAACUCGGCAAAAUGACCCCGUAACUUCGGGAGAAGGGGUGCUCUUUAGGGUUAACGCCCAGAGGAGCCGCAGUGAAUAGGCCCAAGCGACUGUUUAUCAAAAACACAGGUCUCUGCUAAACCGUAAGGUGAUGUAUAGGGGCUGACGCCUGCCCGGUGCUGGAAGGUUAAGAGGAGUGGUUAGCUUCUGCGAAGCUACGAAUCGAAGCCCCAGUAAACGGCGGCCGUAACUAUAACGGUCCUAAGGUAGCGAAAUUCCUUGUCGGGUAAGUUCCGACCCGCACGAAAGGCGUAACGAUUUGGGCACUGUCUCAACGAGAGACUCGGUGAAAUCAUAGUACCUGUGAAGAUGCAGGUUACCCGCGACAGGACGGAAAGACCCCGUGGAGCUUUACUGUAGCCUGAUAUUGAAAUUCGGCACAGCUUGUACAGGAUAGGUAGGAGCCUUUGAAACGUGAGCGCUAGCUUACGUGGAGGCGCUGGUGGGAUACUACCCUAGCUGUGUUGGCUUUCUAACCCGCACCACUUAUCGUGGUGGGAGACAGUGUCAGGCGGGCAGUUUGACUGGGGCGGUCGCCUCCUAAAAGGUAACGGAGGCGCUCAAAGGUUCCCUCAGAAUGGUUGGAAAUCAUUCAUAGAGUGUAAAGGCAUAAGGGAGCUUGACUGCGAGACCUACAAGUCGAGCAGGGUCGAAAGACGGACUUAGUGAUCCGGUGGUUCCGCAUGGAAGGGCCAUCGCUCAACGGAUAAAAGCUACCCCGGGGAUAACAGGCUUAUCUCCCCCAAGAGUUCACAUCGACGGGGAGGUUUGGCACCUCGAUGUCGGCUCAUCGCAUCCUGGGGCUGUAGUCGGUCCCAAGGGUUGGGCUGUUCGCCCAUUAAAGCGGUACGCGAGCUGGGUUCAGAACGUCGUGAGACAGUUCGGUCCCUAUCCGUCGUGGGCGUAGGAAAUUUGAGAGGAGCUGUCCUUAGUACGAGAGGACCGGGAUGGACAUACCUCUGGUGUACCAGUUGUCGUGCCAACGGCAUAGCUGGGUAGCUAUGUGUGGACGGGAUAAGUGCUGAAAGCAUCUAAGCAUGAAGCCCCCCUCAAGAUGAGAUUUCCCAACUUCGGUUAUAAGAUCCCUCAAAGAUGAUGAGGUUAAUAGGUUCGAGGUGGAAGCAUGGUGACAUGUGGAGCUGACGAAUACUAAUCGAUCGAAGACUUAAUCAA